UACGUAGGGUGCGAGCGUUGUCCGGAAUUACUGGGCGUAAAGAGCUCGUAGGUGGUUUGUCGCGUCGUCUGUGAAAUCCCGGGGCUUAACUCCGGGCGUGCAGGCGAUACGGGCAUAACUUGAGUGCUGUAGGGGAGACUGGAAUUCCUGGUGUAGCGGUGAAAUGCGCAGAUAUCAGGAGGAACACCGAUGGCGAAGGCAGGUCUCUGGGCAGUAACUGACGCUGAGGAGCGAAAGCAUGGGUAGCGAACAGG
rnacentral:rRNA from 1 species